AUUGAACGCUGGCGGCGUGCUUAACACAUGCAAGUCGAGCGAAGGUGUUUCAAGGGUAACCUUGAGAUACACUUAGCGGCGGACGGGUGAGUAAUACGUGGAUAACUUACCUCUAGGCCUGGGAUAACCCCGGGAAACUGGGGCUAAUACCUGAUAAGACCACAUUGCCUACGGACAAAGGGGUAAAAGGUGGCUGUGCAAACAGCUAUCGCCAAAAGAUAGGUUCACGUCCCAUCAGGCAGUUGGUGAGGUAAUGGCUCACCAAACCAAAGACGGGUAGCCGGCCUUGGCGGGUGAACGGCCACACGGGGACUGAGACACGGCCCCGACUCCUACGGGAGGCAGCAGUGGGGAAUAUUGGGCAAUGGGCGCAAGCCUGACCCAGCGACGUCGCGUUGGGAAGAAGGCCU
rnacentral:rRNA from 1 species